rnacentral:lncRNA from 1 species
UAGGACAGAGGGACACGGGAUGGACGUGCGCAGAGGCCGCCUGAGAGAACGCAGCAGCGGGAGAGGCCUCCGCAGAACCAGCCCGGCAACCCUGGGACACCGGACCUUCCCCUCCCCCUCCGAGGCUGUGAGAAAAUACAUUUCUGUUGCUUAAGUCCCCAGGCUUGGUAUUUUGUUCCGGCAGCUGGAGCUAGGACAACCCCAGACGCACCCGGCCAGCCCCAAGGGAGGGCGUUCACCGGCUUCCCAUACGCAUCGUAGGAGGCCGCAUGGGCACCCUCCUCAGCCCUGGGCACCCUUGUCGUACCUGACAACCCUGUGUAGAUUCCCUGCAAGCAUCCAGGGGCCAAGGCGGCCGCAGGCUCCUCAGACAAAGGGCUUCCUCCACACGUGGGCUCAGGGCUACGGGCUCCCUGACAUCGACCUCCCCGGCAGCCGCCCUGGUGUUUCUCCCAUUUGCCAGCGGACACAUCCCAGGACUCGGGCUCUGCUCCCUGACGACCUCGCUGGGGCUGCCCCCACCCUUCCGUGGAAUCCUUCGCGACAGUUUCUAAGGGCUCGGAGUGCAGCAUUGAUUUCAACCAUGUGUCUCUGUCAUUAAAAUAGUCCCCCGACUUUGCCUGUGGAAUGUUUUGCUCUCUUCCCAUUUUAAGUUAAAUGUGGUCAGUGUGACGGAAGGAAAUGCGGGUUUUUCUCCAGACCGUCUUGUGCAAGGAGAAGAAGCCUUGAAAAGAAGAGGCACAAACUAUCAGGAACGUCCUCGAAGAGAUGAGCGAAAGCACAUGGCCACAGAAAACCAUGAGGAUGCAACAGAAAGAACGACUCUGAGGCGCCGGGCGUGGCGGCUCACGCCUGUCAUCCCAGCACUUUGGGAGGCUGAGGCGGGCG